rnacentral:rRNA from 1 species
GACGAACGCUGGCGGCGUGCCUAAUACAUGCAAGUAGAACGCUGAAGAGAGGAGCUUGCUCUUCUUGGAUGAGUUGCGAACGGGUGAGUAACGCGUAGGUAACCUGCCUGGUAGCGGGGGAUAACUAUUGGAAACGAUAGCUAAUACCGCAUGAAAUUGCUUAUCGCAUGAUAAUUAAUUGAAAGAUGCAAUUGCAUCACUACCAGAUGGACCUGCGUUGUAUUAGCUAGUUGGUGAGGUAACGGCUCACCAAGGCGACGAUACAUAGCCGACCUGAGAGGGUGAUCGGCCACACUGGGACUGAGACACGGCCCAGACCUCCUACGGGAGGCAGCAGUAGGGAAUCUUCGGCAAUGGGGGGAACCCUGACCGAGCAACGCCGCGUGAGUGAAGACGGUUUUCGGAUCGUAAAGCUCUGUUGUAAGAGAAGAACGGGUGUGAGAGUGGAAAGUUCACACU